rnacentral:rRNA from 1 species
CCUACGGGAGGCUGCAGUGGGGAAUAUUGCACAAUGGGGGAAACCCUGAUGCAGCGACGCCGCGUGAGUGAAGAAGUAAUUCGUUAUGUAAAGCUCUAUCAGCAGGGAAGAAAAUGACGGUACCUGAGUAAGAAGCCCCGGCUAACUACGUGCCAGCAGCCGCGGUAAUACGUAGGGGGCAAGCGUUAUCCGGAUUUACUGGGUGUAAAGGGAGCGUAGACGGCAGUGCAAGUCUGGAGUGAAAGGCGGGGGCUCAACCCCCGGAGUGCUCUGGAAACUGUACGGCUUGAGUGCAGGAGAGGUAAGUGGAAUUCCUAGUGUAGCGGUGAAAUGCGUAGAUAUUAGGAAGAACACCAGUGGCGAAGGCAGCUUACUGGACUGUAACUGACGUUGAGGCUCGAAAGCGUGGGGAGCAAACAGGAUUAGAUACCCCUGUAGUC